AGACAACAAAAUGUUAAAUAUUAAUUUUGUCACCUUAGGUCGAUCGGUAUCUCACAUUCUUAAUUUUUUUAAGGAUUUUUUUUCCUAAGUUUUUUCUAGGUCACACCCAUUACUUUUCCUGGGCCAUUAGCUCAGGUGGUUAGAGCGCACCCCUGAUAAGGGUGAGGUCCCUGGUUCAAGUCCAGGAUGGCCCAUAUCUCUGUGUUGGGGGUAUAGCUCAGUUGGUAGAGCGCCUGCUUUGCAAGCAGGAUGUCAGCGGUUCGAGUCCGCUUACCUCCACUGACCACCACCUCUUCCAUAAUUUAUAGAAGGGAAAUGUUCUGAGUUGUGAUCAAAUUCUGAACGAAUCUAGCUUCCUAAUCAAACCGAUUAAGAUGCUGGACUCAUUGAAUUUUUUUCAUUGUUUUCAGAGAACCUUGACAACUGCAUAGAUUUUUUUAAAGACAAUAAGCAUCUUUAUUGAUGCAGAUUUAUUAUUUGUGCGAAUGCAUUAAUAACAAUUCUAUUAAGCUGAUGCUUCAAUUUUUGAAGUUAUU
rnacentral:tRNA from 1 species